GGUUAUUCAGGGGAACGCUUUCGAUUUUUAUUGUGGGUAGCCUGCACAAAGAGCCGUGUUAUUGUAUUUAAAAGAACCAUCUGUAGCAGAAACAAUGGCAUCAAAUUAUCUUUGAAUACCCACUGAAAAAACAUAAAGCUUUUUUUUUUAUUCUUCUUCUGUACGGUGGGGGGAUAGAGCAGUGUUAGGAUAACUGACUUUUUUGUUGUUCUCUGGGUGCAUUCUUCUCGCUCCCCCUCUCUCUCCCCCUCACCCUCUCUCUCUUCUCUCUCUCCCUCUCCCUCUCUCUCUCUCUCUCUUUUAAAAAAUCAGCCAUUUGGGGUUUUAAGCCAUAAACGAUUUUUCUUGUUGCAGGGGAUUGCAGUGGCAAAGCUAGGCUAGGUCUUGGAGGCUGGUGUAAGGCGAUGCGGGUGAAGGCAGGAGGCUGAUGGAAAGACUGGGGGGAAGAAAAGCCGAAAUGGAUUCACGGUGCCUUGGAUGAAGGACGAGAGGGGAACUGCAAGCUCCUUCAACUGGUUCUGUCCGGUGAGAAGUGAUCAAGCUUGGGCUGACAAGAGGCUCAGGGAGCCCUCACGUUCUUUCGCUUUUUUACCUGCCAAUCAAACUGCUACAAGACAACACCCUGAUCUGGCAUGGACAUCGCGGGUCCAAGCCUGUAGCCCCAAAUCGGAUAAUCUCUGCAGCUGAUAACAAGCAAAAGAGAAGCCAGGCAACAGCCAUAUUAAAGAAGAAAACAAUCAACUCUGAGAUCCAACUUAGAAAUAAUGUUUCAUUCAAGAUAAUGCUCGUGGUUUAGGAGGUUGUGACCUGGCUUGCGUCAUUUUAAGACUUCUAUCAUCUGUUUUCAAAACCCAAGGAGGACCUCAUUUUCUGUGUGAUAGUUCCUCAUGCUUUGCCAGCCACUGGGUCUUUAAGGAAGCUUGCCAAGAGUUCCCGGCUGGGAAGGACAGUUCGAGUUCAUCAUAGACAAUGAGCUGGCACCACAUUUUAAGUGACUCACCAACCUGGUUGCCCACUUCAAAAUGUCAAGAACCAUACUAUCUAAUUGAAAGAACUGUGUUUUAGCAAAGUGUAAUUGGAUCGCCUGGCAAGAUCAUCUCAAACUAUGUCUCUGACCUUGCGUUUCAGUGGCUGUUUUGAGCACAAGAGGAGAAAGGAAAUGAUUCCUGAAUUAUAUCUUGUUUUUAAAAAUUAAGAUUAAUUAAUACUUGGUUUUAUGUUCAUUCCAUUGUAGGAACUUAAUGAUUAUUACAAAACAGUCAAAAUAGGUCAUAGCAAAAUGAACAUUUAAGAUCAGGUUAAAACAUUCCUCUGAAAUUUUAGUAUUCACUUUUGAAGUGUCAAUUACUAUAUUUCUGUAAUUUCUCAUUUUUUUCUUGGCUUAGAGUCAAGAUGAAAAAUGAUAUUUGAAUCAAAGACAUUGCUUUGUUAUAUAGCCACUCUGUAAAAUGCAAAUCCACCCUCCCCUCACCAAUGCUUCACUAUUUGUGCACACACACACACACACACAGACAUACAGAGAACCAGCACCCAAAUGGAAGAGGAGGUCCUUUUGAGACUUCUAGGACCUGGAUCAUGUAAGCAGUAGAUGAGAAAAUGAAGUAAGAGGUAUAGAGCAAUAACAAUAAAAGUCAAUGCUUUCAUUUUACAAAAAAGUUAUUAUGUAGUACUCAGAUAUUUUUAAAAGCAAGUAUUAUUAUGACUAAAGUAUAUUAUACUUCUAAAUUAUUAUGAUUCUCAUCUAAUUUCAAGCCACACAUAGGAGCCAUUUGAAAGCAUUUUGUAUUACAACCUAUCAACAAAAAUCAACUAAUAGUUUUAUAAUGUGCGUAGGUUUACCCCAUGGGGAAUUAAAAUUUUUAUCUGCAAGUAUUUCUAGUGUUGUGAGACUUUAGGACAAGACAACAUUUGGUAUUAACAUAGAAGAAUAUUCUAUGGCUUUUUUAGCUUUAAAGUUCAUUACAAUAAAGUACAUGUGGUAUUUUUUUCUUCCUAGUGUUCUCUUAUAUGUAGGGUAUUUUCGGUUGUUGUUUUUAAUGUAUAUAUUAUUUUUAUUAAGUCAUUUGGUAAAAGAUAAGAUAUAUACUAAUAGACCCUUGCUUUUCUCCUAAUUUAAUUAUUUCAAGUCAAGCAAAAUUGGGCACUUUUCUUUCAGGAAAAAAAAAAAUAUUGAGCAUGAUUUUGAGGCAAAAAUGAUUGUUUACAGCAUAUUUUCUCUAAUAGAGUAACAUUUAUGAUGGAUCUUAUUUCAAAGUUGAUUAUUCUCAAAGAAAAGUAGAGAUACUAGAAUUUCCAAGUAAAUUGCAUUGUUUUAAAAAGUACUUUAAUGCAUCGUUCACAUUGUUGCCAGCUAUUGACCAAAAAAGUGUAGAAGAAAAAAGAAACAAAAAAAGUAGUAUCUGCUCCAAACGUCAAGUUUUGCAGUUUGAAAGACUUGUACAUGCUAAUUGUUUUUUUCUUUUUUGGAAAGAAGUAGUAAUUAAUACCAAAGGCAUAGACAAUUUAGGGCCAUAACCUCCCUUCCCCCCUCUCCACCUUUUUUUUUUUUUUUUUUUAACUUUAACCAUGAUAGGCAUCUCUGCAAGGUAGGUUUUAACAUAUUUUUUUCCUAAUUUUUUUCCCUCCAUUCAGUAAGAAGGAUAAGCUUUUAGAGUACCCAGUCACCGUGGUAACUGCCAAAAAAAUUCUCCUGAAGUUUGAAGAGGUCAGCUAGCAGGGUCAACAACCCUGGCCUCUCUCUGAGCUCGGUCUAGCAUGCCCCAGCCUGCGGUUGGAGUGUCAGGCCAGAUCUGACCCUGGGAGGUGGACCAUUCUGGCUCUGAUAUAAAUUUUUUGAGUCAGUUCAUGGCCUGGACUCUCCAGGUGGCCUCCAAAAUCGAUUUUGACCCCCUGACCCUGUCUCACGGAGGCAUAACAUCCACCCUAAGUAAGGAUUUAGCCAGGAAUGACAGCUUUCCACUGAGUGUUAUUGGGGACAGUAUAAACAGUUUGGAAAGCAAGUAAGGAGGUGUGAGUGCUAACAAUCAUUAAAAGCACAUUAAAAAACAAUUUUAAAAAAUCUUUAUUAGAAAAAGUUUUAAAUGCGUGUCUGUUACAGAAUUCCUGUGAUUUGUAGUUUUCUAGUCAGUUUUGAAUAUAAAUAAGUCACUUAUCUUUAUCUUUUUGCACACUUUGUUACAAAUAUGCAAAUAAGAUAGGCGUACUUGCUACAAAUAGGUACAGCAGGAAUGUAAUAUGUUCAGAAAAGGCAAACUGGUUAUUAAAACACAUUAACAGGUAAGGAGUUUCUAAUAUUCUAAAUACUAAAAUUUUGCAUAUAUAUUUUGAAGUGUUUAAAAUGGAAAAAUAAAGAACCUUUAAAAAACCCAACAGUGUGGAAUAAAGAUAAACUUGUUGCACUCAAGGUACAUUUCUACUUUGUAAAGCAAGAAGCCAAUACACUCAGUUGGAUAAAAAUGAGAGAAAAAUUGUAAAUAUAGAGAGUUACAUCUUAUAGAGCUAAAGAGGAAUAAAAAAAAUAGUGUCUCUGAAUAACUUUAUGUAUUUUCAACAGUUUAAGAUAUCAGAAACUUGGAAAAUAAAUAUGAUAUAUAUAAAUCAUCA